rnacentral:rRNA from 1 species
GACGAACGCUGGCGGCGUGCUUAACACAUGCAAGUCGAACGGAAAGGCCUCUUUCGGGGGGUACUCGAGUGGCGAACGGGUGAGUAACACGUGAGUAACCUGCCCUUGACUUUGGGAUAACUUCAGGAAACUGGGGCUAAUACCGGAUAGGAGCUCCUGCUGCAUGGUGGGGGUUGGAAAGUUUCGGCGGUUGGGGAUGGACUCGCGGCUUAUCAGCUUGUUGGUGGGGUAGUGGCUUACCAAGGCUUUGACGGGUAGCCGGCCUGAGAGGGUGACCGGCCACAUUGGGACUGGGAUACGGCCCAGGCUCCUACGGGAGGCAGCAGUGGGGAAUAUUGCACAAUGGGUGGAAGCCUGAUGCAGCAACGCCGUGUGCGGGAUGACGGCCUUCGGGUUGUAAACCGCUUUCGCUCAUGACGAAGCUUUGUGUGACGGUAGUGGGUAAAGAAGCACCGGCUAACUACGUG